UUUUUUUCUUUUUUUCUCUUUUUAGGGCCACAUCCCCAGCAUAUGGAGGUUCCCAGGCUGGGGGAGAAUCGGAGCUGUAGCCACCGGCCUACACCAUAGCCACAGCCAUGCCAGAUCUGAGCCGUGCCUGCAACCUACCCCACAGCUCACGGCAACACCAGAUCCUUAACCCACUGAGCAAGGCCAGGGAGUGAACCUGCAUCCUCAUGGAUGCUAGUUGUUUAACCGCAGAGCCAUGAAGAGAACUCCCACUUUGGCGUUUCUGAAGGAGAAAAACAGCUUUAGGAUUGAAGAAAAGGGAAGAAGACUAAGUCGUUGCCUCAAUCUCAUUCAGGGCUUAGAAAAUACCUGAAAAGCAAUGUGGCCUGCUCCCUCCCUCUCUUCCCUACCACACACAGAAUACGGUUUUCAAUUACUAUGACCUGAUCAGCUUUCUAGUGAGGAAAGCCAAAAACGGAAUCAAGACUUCUCUAGCCUGUUAUCUUAAUAUAAUUUUUCUGGCCUAUUAUCUAAAUAAAAUUAAAUCAACUUUGCUCUCAGGUUUUACUACAUUCAAGGAUUCAAGUACCCAGUCCCAACGUUCCUUUCUUAUCUGUUUACUGACAAUCAAUUCCUUCAAUAGCCAGCAUAUGUAAGUGACUAAUACUAGAAAAUUUUCUAAAUAAAAGAAGAGCUAAGUGGAUGCCUAAAGGAGGGAGUUCAUUAAAUGAUGAGAGAAAGAAUACAGAAAGGGAAUGCUAGAAAUACCAAAGACACAAUUAUUUUAUGUUUUUACCUAAGAGGUACGUUUUGUCCGCCUUCAAAUAUAUCUAGACAAGUAUUAACAGCAAUAACCCUAACUGCAGAAACACAAAGCUUAGUGGGGCCUACCACUUUUUAAAAGUAUGAUGCAGUUCACCCUAAACCAGGCAUGAAUCAUAAAGAUGUGUUUUAAUACAGCAAACCUCACUAUAAGGGAUAUUUCACCCCAGAAUACUACUUAGUCAAUGCAUUACUAUAAUUACACAACUUAACUAAGGCUGGUGAUAAAAGAUUUUGAAAACAAUACAAUUUCAAUUGUAAUGCAAUUCUAAGAGGCUCCCUUCUACAAAAAUACAGCAUAAGAAGAAUAGUUAAUAAAUAUCACACCCUGGCAUAAAGCGUUUUUUAAAGUAAAUGUAUUUUUAUACCAUAUGGUCACAUUAUCCCUUAUUAUACCAUACGGUGGUAGAAAAAAAGUAACAUCAGGAAAGUUUAAAUGGUCAUAAGUAAUGUUUGAUGCCAAAAGCAUAAGCACAUUCAUUCAAUAAAUAUUUAAUAAGCUCCUGCCAUUUACCAGAAUAUUCUAUUUUGAGCAUCUCCAAAGUAAUACUUACAAAUACAGGACAAGAAAUUUGUUCGCUUUCCAGUAUAAUUUUAAAAACUAAAUCUACAUGUAUGCUCAAGAUGUUUGAUAAGAAUAAAAAAGUUUGAAAUAACCUAAUAUAAAAAAAUUAGUUAAAACCACAGUCUUUUUAUUUUUUAUUUUUUUAGGGCCACAUCCACAGCACAUGGAGAUAGAUUCCCAGGCUAGGUGUCUAAUUGGAGCUACAGCUGCCGACCUCUGCCACAGCCACAGCAAUGCCAGAUCCCAGCCGUGUCUGAGACCUACACCACAGUUCACGGCAGCACCAGAUCCUUGGCCAACUGAGUGAGGCCAGGGAUCCAAACCGCAACCUCAUGGUUCCUAUUUGGAUUCAUUUCUGCUACACCACAACAGAAACUCCAAAAUCAUGGUUUAUCUCAUAUGACAAUGUUUUGCCAUAUGAGUUUAAAAAUAUACGAAACCACAUACAUUGCAUUAUACAAGCAUAAAAAAAGAGUAUGCGGAUAUACACUAAAAUGUUUAUGGUAAUUUUAUCUUAUUGGCAAGAUUACAGAUAAUUUUCUAAAGCUUUUUGUAUUUAUACUUUUCUAAUUUUUCAGUAACAGAUGUGCUUUCCCUCUAAGAAACUUUUUAAAACCUGUAUUUUACUGUCAAAUAUGGUAAUUCUUUAGACUGAAAUGUGUCAUUUUACACAAGCACAUUUUUUCAUUUCUUUCCAUGUACUUGACAAUGAUAUCUCUUUAGUACAAAUGCAGAAGACAGUUCAAUUAAAAGAUCACAGUAUAUUUCAGUUUCCAUUGAAUUAACAAAUACCAACUUCAAAUUUAAAAUUACUUCUUGGAGGAAUUUACCAUACAUAACAUCGACUAUCUAUAUUCAAAACAGAUUCAUUUUUAAUCUUUUACUCCCCUCCCCCCUGUCAAAUAUAUUUAUUAUAAGUUCCUAUAAGAAAACAUGGAGGAAAAACUACUAUUCAUCACUAACCAUAAAAACCUGAACGGAGGCAGCAGUGGGAAACACGUCUAACUGAAAUUAGUUAAGAGUAUCCUUAUGGUUUCAAGAGAUACUAAUAUGCUUUCUAAUAUUGCCAAUUUAAAUUCGAAUUCAUCUAGCCUAGAGGUUCUCAAGCAUUGACACAUGAGAACUGCCCAGGAAGUGUGCCAAAUACCGAAAUCGACGGCCCUAGGUCUCACCUACUGAAUCAGACUCUAUUGGGGGUAGAGCUCAAUCUGGCCCUUUCAAAUUAGAUAGCAGACAGUGUACUUAACAAAAGCCUUCUCUACAUCACUGCAAACUGUUCUAAUAACUCUGAAACAAAUUUCUCAAUGAAAACAAUGUUAUAAUCAGAGAAUUACAAUUUCAUAACCCAUACCCUUUAAUUUACCCCUUCUUCUACAUACAUUCAACAAAACCACACAUGGCACCAAAGUAAAGCCAGCCUAGAGGCACCUGUGCCAGUAAGACAAAGGCAUAUCCGAUUCAUGGAAAAAAUAGACAGCAGAUGUGACCCCCUAGUAUUUACCCAUUAAAAACAAUGUAUCCUAAAAAUAAAUUUCCAUGUCAACGGAACAAAGCUGUUUAUAAAUAAGAAGGAAUGUGGAGGUGUGGGGAAGACAAGAGGAAGCUUCAGCAAGUUAAGUACCAAAAGCCAGGAAACAAGGCAGAAUGAAUGGCAACUGGGGACAAGGAAAACAAAAUAAAGAAGAAAAGAAGAGCGCUAUCCUUACAAUCCAAGAAGUUGGGGGAAAUGAACAGAUAUUAGAGGAAACUGAUCUGAGCAGAUAUUAGAGGAAACUGAAUUGAGAUAUGCAAACAGCAAAUAAGUGGAUAGUGGUGUCAAAAAAAAAAAACAUAAGAAAUUUAGGUGAGAUCAAAUGAUGGUACAGAGCAUCAUGAAGGCGGUAUAAAAGGAUGAAAAACAAAUAUUAUUGCGAACAAAGUGAUAAUGAACAGGGCAAGCACACUGAAUUUCCACAGUAAAGGUGAUGAAGCAGGAAAAAGAAUUGCACGGAAAGAGAAAGGAAUGAGACAUUAUAAGAAUUGGGAAACAAAAUAUAGAUACUGUAGUAGGAAGGAAAGAACUUUGAGCAAAGUCAACAGAGUAAGUCAUUAUCUAAUCAAUAACUGUAAAGUACAGUUAUUAUACCAUGUAUUAUCUCAUUAUUUGUGAAGUAUAAUAAAGGGUAUUAUUUUAUGUAAUACAAUACCAACACAAAUGUAAUAAAUUUUUGGUAAUAAAAACCAAAAUGUAAACCAAGUAAUUUGACAAGGUGAUAAGAGGUGAAUAAUGCAAAAGCAGGCUGAGAGAAGCAAGGGCUAAAGAGGAAAAAGCAAAAAAAAAGGGGGGGACAAAAAGGAGGACAACAGCAAGAAUUCAAACGUAUAAAACAGGUAGGAAGACACAAAGACGUGCGAAUGCACAAAUGGAAGACUAAAAAGUGGCAGGACUGCAAGUGAAACCUGAUGGAAUCUUGACAGCUUCAGGAUUCAGAAAGUAAGUAGCUCCAAAGCGUCCAGAAGGAUUUGUGACGGUAACAAUAGAUAACAAGUUAGGGAGCAGUGGGAAGACGUGGAAGGCCUCAAGAGGACCAGGGUAAGAGAAGUGCAAAAAUGGUCUUAAGUAGAAGCUGAGGUUAGAAGGCAGGCCAGUCCAACUACUGGCAAAGGAGCCGGGUGGCAGAUGGGAAUGGGAUGGGGGUUACCAGUCGGCGACAGAGCACUGACAAACAUUAGGAACCGGGGAACAAGACCGGGGUGGAAAAAAGAACGGAAACAGUGGCAUUUACGGUAGAAAAAGUAAAGACUAAAUCAAAACCAUCCGCUGGUUAAAACAGGUGAAGAGAAACCCCCCCUCCCCCGCCUCCACCACCACCACCACCACCAAGUAGAGAAGUGGAAGGGAGAGCAGCGGCCUGAAAAGGGAGACAGUCAUGGAGAGCAGAGGGAAUGAGGAGCCCCAUCAUCAC
rnacentral:lncRNA from 1 species